GGCAGGGUGGUGUAGUGGUUUGAGUGUUGGGACUAUGACUCUAGGAGACCAGGGUUCAAAUCCCCGCUCAGCCA